GAUGAACGCUGGCGGCGCGCCUAAUACAUGCAAGUCGAGCGAACGGACGAGAAGCUUGCUUCUCUGAUGUUAGCGGCGGACGGGUGAGUAACACGUGGAUAACCUACCUAUAAGACUGGGAUAACUUCGGGAAACCGGAGCUAAUACCGGAUAAUAUUUUGAACCGCAUGGUUCAAAAGUGAAAGACGGUCUUGCUGUCACUUAUAGAUGGAUCCGCGCUGCAUUAGCUAGUUGGUAAGGUAACGGCUUACCAAGGCAACGAUGCAUAGCCGACCUGAGAGGGUGAUCGGCCACGCUGGAACUGAGACACGGUCCAGACUCCUACGGGGGGCAGCAGUAGGGAAUCUUCCGCAAUGGGCGAAAGCCUGACGGAGCAACGCCGCGUGAGUGAUGAAGGUCUUCGGAUCGUAAAACUCUGUUAUUAGGGAAGAACAUAUGUGUAAGUAACUGUGCACAUCUUGACGGUACCUAAUCAGAAAGCCACGGCUAACUACGUG
rnacentral:rRNA from 1 species